rnacentral:misc_RNA from 1 species
AGAACAUUGUUGAGAAACUAAACCUGCAAGAUUAGAACAACAGUCAAUUAGAACCACACUAAAAUUUGCAAAACAAGACUUCAACAAAUGUUUCACAACAUCUGAGAAGGAUUCUGGACUCGUCAAACAACCGAGCUUGUAGGUGAGGGUCCAAGGAUGGGUUUAACAUCUCUAACUAUCUCUAACAGCUUCCUCAUGCAAAAGUCUUGAAGUGCGGACAAGUACAAGCUUACUUCAUCUUAUGCUGAAAUUUUAAUUGAUAAGUAAAGGCUUCCAUUUAAUAGCUCUAACUAUCUCUAUUCUCUAUCACACCCUUUGAGGCGCAUGCAUUUCAAGCGUUUAUAAACAGAAGCACUUCCACCUUGUACUAAACUAUAAUUAAUAAGUCAUUUUUCACUGAUUUUGCAAAUUAUUAAUGGUGUUCAACAAGUUUGUGCUAACCAUAAAAUUUAUAAAUAUUUUCAACAAUUAGUAUUUGUCUAUAUUUUAGUAAAUUUAUUUUAUAUGUUAAAUAUUAAUAUGUUCAUAGCACUAAUACCAAAUUUUU